AUGGGCGCCUACAGGUUCGCGUCGGAGCUAUGGAAGAGGAAACAGCCGGACCUGACGAGGCUCGUGCAGCGGCCGGCGACCGUGCGCCGUCUCGGCACCGGGGCCAAGCAGCUUCACAAGCCUAUUGAGGAGACCAAGGAAGGUAUAUACCCAAGUAGGAUGCACUCCCAGAACCUGCCUGCCAAGAUACGCAUAGCGAUGAAAUCUUUCAAUAACCAAAAUCACAAUCUGAAGGGGCUUGAGCCUUACACGCACAAGAUUGGGUUGCCUGAAUCACGAGCCUUAUACACCGUGUUACGAUCACCUCAUAUUGAUAAGAAAUCCAGGGAGCAAUUCUCAACGCACGUGAAGAAAUUAUUUGUGGUUAAAAAGGCAGAGACACAUGAGCUGGCUAAGAAGUUCUUUUGGUUAAAACGGCUUCGUGUACUGGGGGCUCAAUAUGAAGUCAAUAUUAGUUUCAAGACGCGCUUGGAUAAAAUGAUUGGCUGCAGCAAAGGUGGUGGCCUGCUUAGACUGUAG
rnacentral:rRNA from 1 species